rnacentral:rRNA from 1 species
AUGGCCGAGGCCAUCCGGGACGAUCAUCGCGGCGCGGUCGACGACGACACCGGCCUGCGCCCGACCAACAACGGCGACAGCACGUGGGAGAUAGAGGAGCUGGAGCCGGACGACCGGACGGCCGGACCGCCUCCUCCCCCUCCUCCCGGGGCAGCGGCCACCUCCGACGCCGACGACGUGUACGUGGCGGUGGGCAAGGGUGGGUCCAGCAUGGCGGCGCUGUCGUGGGCGCUGACGCAGCUCGCGAGGCCGCGGAGCUUCGUCUACCUCGUGCACGUCUUCCCCGUCGUCGCCACCAUCCCCACCCCAUUAGGAAUGAUGCCUAAGAGACAAGCAACCCCAGAGCAAGUAGAAACUUACAUGAACCAAGAGAGAUCCAAGAGGAGAGAGAUGCUGCAAAAAUUUCUGGAGCACUGUCGCAACUUUCAGGUUAACGUCGAUGUGUACCUCAUCGAGAGUGAUCAAAUCGCCGAUGCCGUCGCUGAACUUAUCCCUGUUCUGAAUAUAAAGCAGCUAGUACUCGGGGUUGCAAAAUCCAACUUGCGGAAGUUGAAGAAAGGGAACACAAUAGCAGGACAGAUACAGAAGAAUGCACCUCUCUACUGCAAAGUCAAGAUUGUCUGUGAUGACAAAGAAGUUGCAGUGGCGACGGCUGCUGAUCCGACGCCACCAUUUUCACCUUCCCCUGUAAAUAACAACAGCAGAUCUCGCACCCCGACACCGCCAUCAUCUACGCCAAAUAGCGAUAGCAUAGAGGCAGUUGAUGGCAAAAAUGAUAGCAAAACCAAAGAAAGAAGGAAGAUUCCCAAGUUUCUCAGGUGCCUGUCAUCCUGA